rnacentral:lncRNA from 1 species
UUUCCAACCCAUGUGCAGAGUGAGACGUGUGUUAUUGUUUCCCAUGUUUGCAAUUGUAAUAUGUGGAUUCACAGCACUGGGUCUUCACAUCAGCUUCUGCAUUCGAUCAGCUGUGAUGUCACACUGCACGCGCGUGAGAGAAUGAGAAUGGAAAACACAAAUAAUUCCUUAGUAUGAUUAGGAAAAUAGUGUGGCCUUGGAAACUCCCCAGAAGAAGUUUAAUCCUGUCACUUGUUUUCCAGAUGGACGAUUCUUCCGACACAAAUUUUACAAAGAAUAUCCAGAGGGUGCCUUCAAGAAUGUGGCCGAACCUGGGAAAGGACAACAGAGGCACUUUCAAUAAAGCAACGGCAGCAGCCAGUGCACAAGAACAUUCCUCCACUUUCUGCUAAGCCUUGGAAACAGUUGGGUAAAAAAAUGUUUUUCAACCCCUAGAGGUCAUGCCCAGCUCAACAGAGCAUGACCCCAGAGAUGCUUGGAGACAGGACACCUGGCUCUCAACCCCCGUCGGGCCCUGCCUGGCUGGGUGACUUUGUGGGAGCCACUCACCAGCGCCUGGUCCCUGUUUUAUGACCCUGGAAAGGAGGCACACCAAGCAGUCCCCUUGACCUUGUAGCUCCCUGGAUCGUCCGUGGGAAGAAGUCACUGCCUUUGUGAGCUGUGUGAAGCCCAUUUCUAAGAUAGAGUUCCAUGUCUUGCUUGGUACUGGUUCUUCCAGGUUUGACUCCAGGAGGCAUGUACCCAUCCCACAUGUUCUCAAGAUAAGUUUGCUCAUCAUAAAAUGGAAAUGAACUUACCUACUCAUGCU